GACAGAGGUCCCGAGCGUUAGGCGGAAUCACUGGGCUUAAAGCGUGUGUAGGCGGAGUGCUAAGUACCUUGUGAAAUCCCACGGCUCAACCGUGGAACUGCUCGGUAUACUGGUUCUCUUGAGCCACCUAGGGGCAACCGGAACAAACGGUGGAGUGGUGAAAUGCGUAGAUAUCGUUUGGAACGCCAAUGGUUAAGGCGGCUUGCCAGAAUGCGCUCGACGGUGAGGGAUGAAAGCUGGGGGAGCAAACCGG
rnacentral:rRNA from 1 species